CUCUAUAAUGAAAUGGGCAUUUCUGUAUUCCUGUAGAACCGCUAGACGAACUGAAGAUCAGAAGUCACAGCACUGAACCACUACCAAAGCUGGAAAACAAAGAGAGGGGAGGCCAUCACGGGACGGCUUCUUCCAGGGAGCCAGGGAAAGCUCAGGAAUGGGAUGGAACACCGGGCCCACCCAUGGUCUCCAGCAGGCUGGGGAGAUCUUCUGUCAGUCCAACCAUGUUGGCUGGAAGCAACAGCUCAGAGCCUAAAGCAAGUUGCAGAUUAGGUCGGUCUGCAUCCACAUCAGGUGUGCCUCCUCCAUCUGUUACUCCGCUCAGGCAAGCCAGUGAUCUUCAGCCGAGCCAGGUACCAUCAUUAGCCAAUCGGGAAUGACUUCAUGUGCUGCAAUAUGCCAAAUGUUUCUCACCUCUGUGUCUUUCAUUUGUUACAGUAGAUGAGUUUUUGUUUUCUUGUCUUUAUUUUCUGUGUGUGCGUGCAUUUGUGUGUGCGCAUCUCUCAUUGGUAACGAAGUUCCACUGGGUAUGGCCAGUAGAAUUUUCUUUGCCCUUAAUUCCUUGUAUCCUUUUCUGUCUUCAUUCUGUAAUAUAAAUGUAGUAAAACUGUACUGUAUGAAUUGGCUGGAUUUUUUAUUUUUUCAUGUUUUCUGUACUUUUUUUACUGUCUUCAAAAUUUAUCAAACUUUGAUAAAUUUAAUCUAUGUUUAAGUGUAAAUUUCUUUUAAAUGUCUUGUCUAAAGCACUUGCACCAAUGUUUGUCAAUGACUUGUACAUACCUUUGACGUCUCCCAGUUGUACUAUAAUAUUUGUGCCAGUCUUACAUUUGUUUUGAGCUCAGUGCAUGAUUGUAUUACACAGUCCUGAAAACUGCUCUUACAGCAAGUUGUUUUAUUUAGUUAAGGCAGCUAGACUCUCUUCAGCUAGAGGCCAUGUAAAACUUACAGGACUAUUAAAUAGUCUGCUGUAGUUAUAUUUAUUGUAUAUUGUUAAGAACCAAAAACUGAACCAGAGGGGUAAAUCUUCCUUGUAUUUUAACCAGAUAUACUUUUUUUUCCCCAUCAAAAACAAUGAUGCUACACAGACCCUUGAAAAAGAAAUUGAAGUGUUUGGCAAAUUUAUCCAAUAGAGAGAAAACAGAAAAGAAUUAAAGACGUGAGAAACCUAUACUUACCUUUAUUUUAUAUGCUAAUACUGAUACUGUAUCAUUUCACUGCACAGACCUGUAUUAUUAGUUUGACAGAACUAACUGCUGAGAGUAGUAAUUGAGAGAAAAGGUUUCACUUAUACAUCAUGUGAAUAGCUUCUGUCAAGCUCCAAGCACUCCAGUAUUGUGUCACUUGUGUGUACGUGUAUGGGACUGCACAUCGCUGUAUAUGAGUGAGGGUGUGCAUAUAUACAGACAUAAACAUACAUGUAUAUAUGUGCACAUAUAUAUAUGUAUGCUAACACACGCAAGCACUCUUAUUUAGAUGGUGAAUUCUUGAUUGGCUUUUGGGGAAUUAGUCCCCAUAAUCCUACUGAACUUCAAUGAGAUCUCAGUGGUAAACUUCCUUGGGGCUACUUUGCAGUUAAUUCCCUUUGUAGGUUCCUUGUUGCUCCUUGGUGAGAAGCUCCUGGCCAAAGCAGAAAACAGAAGAGUAAGGUCAAUUUACUCAACCCAGAGCGCAAAGUACUUGUUAGGAAGGUUAUAUUUGCAUAGCCUAAUCCAUACUGGUUGAUAUUAUUUGACUGGCAAAACUGUACUGGUUUUGAGUCCUGCUGGACACAAUGCAUUGCACGUUUCUGAAACAUAUUUUACAUAAAACCAAAACCAUAACAGAGAUUUAAAAUGAUAACCCAUUUAAAUACUAAGUAUUUUUUUUAAUCUGAGGAAGAAAUUAAGGUAAUUUUACUUUCGAAGGUUUUGAGUAUCCCCAGUGUUCAAAUAGUGUAUGUUUUCUCAUAAAACAGGUCUCACAGCAGACAUGAUGAUUUGCUGGUUAUUCAGUGCAAAGGCACCUUGGGUGUUUUGAAGGCAUUUUAGUCUCUCAGUUCAUAUUAAGAGCUAAACAAUAAGCCUUGAAAGCAGAAGCUGAUGUGAUAGAAGAGAUAAUGAGCCUCUUAGAAGCUGCAGCCAGGGUUCACUGAAACUGUGGAGGAAAAUUCCACUUCACUUCAUACAGAAGAAAAGAACAAAGAUGAUAAGAGGAAUUUUCAAGUGACUGUAGAAGGUGUUCUUGUUAAUUGAACAAUGUGUGUAUGGUAUGGGCGUGUCUUCAUGAAAAACCACAAAUCUGGUGAAAACUGUCUCUGCCCUCAGGACUGCCCUCCAGUUGUCAACUGCUUACUCUCAAUCUAUUAAGUUGCCAUUUAUUAUGAAUGCAUAAUUUUGUAAAGGUGUGGUUUGACCCCGGUUCUGGGGAAAGACAGAAGUCUCAUUAUCUCUUUGGCAUAUGCAAACAUUGCUUCAAUUGUUUUCUUUAUCUGCCCGCUCUAUCUUAAUGUGCAAUUAAUCUAUGAUGGGUGAAAUGUGUUUGGAAAUGCCUGGGUCGUUAGCCCAUUCUGAGUCUGACAAAUUGUGGCAUACAGGGUAUUUGUUUUUGUGUGCUGUGGCUAUUGAUUGUAUUGACACUGGUUUCCUUAACUACAUCAUAAUCAGCAGUUAGUCUUUCUGAAAGAAGAGGAUGCUUUCUGUUACUCGCCUCUGAGCUGAGAUGGACACAGCUGAUGCUCACACAGGGAUACAAGAUUGAGGAGUACAUCUGGGAAAGGGCACCUUACUGGACUGAUCGGUUUUCUCAAAUCUUCCAGGAUCCCAAACUAACGUUUUUCCAAAACAUUUAACUUAUUUGAGCUCUUACAUAAUGAUUCGUGUAAAUAGUGAGAAUGCGUAGUAAUUCAAGACAGGUCUGAAUUAAGAAAAAACAAAUCUUAAUUCCAGUCAAAUACUGGCUAGUUGUGUAACUGUUGACAUUUAACUCCUGUAUGCCUUAAAUUCUUUUUUGUUUAUUGGUAUAGGAGCUGUAAGGAUAAACUAGCUAAUGUUUAUGGAACAUAUUUAUGGCAUAUGGAUUGUAAGCGUUACAUUACUUAAAAAGAAAGGGCUUAUAAGCAGAGAUGAAUUAUGUGGCUGAUCUCUGUUGGAGAACAUUUAGAAAUUUGUAGUGCAGUCGUCCCCAGCAGUUACAGAGCAAGUUACAGACAAGCAGAGGCAGACAGGAAGCAUGCUGUUCUAUAUUAUGUCUGGUAAAUGGCAAGGGGGUUUUGAAAGAUGGCUGCUGGAAGUAACCUUGGAUUAAGUAAAAAAAUAGACUCCAUUUAAACUGAAGGAUAAAAAAAAGUUUAUCUUGGAACUGGAGUUAUUAACUGUGUAAGAACAAAAUGUUAGAAAUUAAGGAAGUAGAAAAGGAAGACAACUGGAGAGUGUAAAACUGAAAUAUGGCAGUAGCAUAGAAUAUUUUUGAGCUACAGAAGUGACAAAUAGCUGUAUAUGCUAAAUGCAUAUCCUGAUAUAAAUAUGUAUCCUGAAGAGGAGAAUGUAAGCAGUGGAGAACUGUUCUAUGUAUCAUAGAAUGUGAUCCCCUGUAAAGAGAGCUACAGGGAAUGGGAAAAUGUUCUAGAAAGUAAAGAAAGUUACAUCUUGAUCUUAGACAUCAAGAAACAUGUGGAUAAAACUAGAAACAGUGGAAGUCCAUCUGAAUUUGGCCUUUAUACUGAAGUGCAGACAAGUAUCAGUCUUUUGUUUCUACCCAAGGAGACAGAGAUCAGUAGAAGUUAACCAUUAUGUGAGAUUUCUAAAGUAGAAAUUAAAUACAGUCUCAGGAUGGCUUGGUAAAUAAAUGAUCUCCCUUACUGCUGUAACCUCUGAGCCUCAUGCCUAAGACUUUUAUAUCAGGCAUGCUGAGGUGUUUCAUUCUGCAAUGGCAAAUGCUCAGGCAUGUCAAAGCACACCAGUAGUGAAAAAAAUGGUUCACGUGUGCAAAGUAAGCAAGAUUUGGAGCCACAGAUACCACUGCAAUACAGUGAUGUUUCCCUGCCCCCUAUCAUCCUCCAUAUCUUCAUCUCAGGGUAUGGAAGGGUUACAUGCUAUGGAUGGGUUCAAAAAUCCCUGUCAUAUGCAGAAUAUGUGUACUGAGCACACUCAUUACAAAAGAGGAAAAUGUUUCAAGCAGCCUACACUGUGGAAAUCCCUCUGCUGGAUAGCAGAGCAUCUCAAAUCUAUAUUCUUAAUGCGCAUAAAACCAUCUAGGUUACUGCUAGGCUUAAUUCCAUUUUAAGGAAAAGGAACCAACGUAACUAUCUCUAGACUUCUUUGCUGCAAAUGAAUUUUGCAAAGUGAAAUUUAUUUUCAUUAAGAUGUAGGCAGCUGUUGGAAAGUCAUGUUUAUUAAGAUGCAUAUGAGCACAAUAGUGCAUGUUACAACAACACAUCCUGAAGGAAUGAUCCGUGUGUUUAUGAGAUCCGCAACCUGAGAGAAAACACACCCUUCGAUAACAAAACUCCUGGUAGUUAGAUGGCCGUAUUUCAGCUUUUCUGCUGAAGCACAGCCUCUUUUCAGAUGUUUCCACAAAGCUGUGUACUUAUCUGCAAACAUGCAGCCUCUCCUCAUGCUGCCCCUUAGUUCCUUGCUUUUCAGUGGGAAGGCAGCACUCUAGUUCCUCUCCUGCUGUCUCCCUGUGGCAUGCUGUACUCACCUCUGGAAGGCUGGCAUGCCUGCAAGGCCUGGUGCCUUCCUGUUGGGAGGUCUGGGCAAUGAUACCUAUUGCCAAUUUUAGCAAGGAAAGAAGAUUUAAACUUUAAAGUGAUGAUGAAAGUUAAAUAUGGACACCAUCCUGAGAUUAGAAGGAAUAAGUCAGCAGAAGGAAUAAAAAUACAUGAAGAGCUAUGAAUUAAAGGGUCUUCACUUGUGUUGAAGAAAAGGCUAGAAAACAUAUAAAAUCAGCACUGAGCUUUUUGUGGCCUUUCCCCCCUUAACGUGGCUCAGCUCACUGCUUCCAUGGUAUCUGCCUCAGCCUACAGCAGGCUGGGGCUGUGUUUCUUUGCCCUGGCGGCCCCCCAGCAGGGGGCACAGCAUGGAGCGCCCAGGCAGGGACACCAGGACAGACAGUUCCCGAAGAUGAGCGGCCUUCACUGACUGCUCUGCCUCAACCCAGUGCUGCAAAGGGGAGAGAAGCCUCUUCACAGCACGGACGCCGCUGUGUAGUUACCGUCUUGCACCAAAUGAAGGCACUCCAUAAUACUGUGUUUGUGUCUUUGAUGGGCAACAAUUCAGAUACUUAUGUUUGGUGUUUGAACCCGCUAACAAAGCUGUUUCCAGGAAGUGAAAAUCCAGGCUUUGCAGAGUCCUGAAAGCAAGAAAUCGGGGUUUUUCUGUUGUAGUUUUCUGUUUUCUGCACAUGAAGUAAGGAGACAGAAAGCAGAAUGACUGCUUUAAAUCUGCAUCUGAAAGACGUUUAUGAAGGUUUCUCCUCUUCAAGGAGACACAUUGUUGCAUUUUUACACCUCUGUGGCUUGUAUCUCGCUGUUCAUUGUUCAGGCAGAGGUUACAGAGGUUACCGUUGUUACAUGACAGGGCCCGCGCCUUGGGCGUGGAUCCGGAUGCGGCCUGCCCGCGAGGCUCCGGCUUCCUCGGCCCCGGCGCGCUGCAGCCUAGCGAGGCCCGGUGCGGUCCAGCAAGGCCCGGCCCUGCCCAGCGCGGCGCUGGGCGAGCUCAUGGCGCCGCCUGGCGGCCCCCGGCCGCGUCUCUUCCCCUGCGGCACGGGGCCGCUCGGCCCUCGGCGCUGGCGGUGGCGAGACCCAGCGGGGCCAAUUCCGCAGCUUGAGGGAACAUUCUUGAGGAAACGUUCCUAGAACAAUGCUCUGUGGUUUAAGUGCAGUAUGAGCUCAUUGAAAGAAAUUCACAAAACUUAGGAGAAAUAAUUUAGAGUUGAAUCUUAACAGUUACGGAGCACUCCCAAGCAUUGCAGCUCAGUAUUUGUCUCAUGCCUCAGUGCAUGAAUAAUGCUGUUCUGGGUCAACUAAGUAUCACAAACCCAGUUCUUAAUGUCUCUGGCCUUAGUUGUGUAUACAAAGCAUAUUAUAGUCCUUGUAUGCUUUAUAAGCAUUGUGUUCACCCUUUAAUGAAUGAAUGCAAGAAGGUUAAAUAGUUACUAUUACAGCUGUAAUUAUUUUUGAAGGCACCUAGACAAAAAACUUCCCCAAUGACUUGGCAUUAUCAUGCUUUAGUUGGUAAUUGUGUCUGAAAGCAUAUGGGCUCUCUAUUACUCCAAGCACAAACAAUACAUCUGUGCUCUUCCAUUAUUCUCGGCUUAAAGUUGCAAUUUUCCCAGCAUCACUGUACCAGAGUUCAAAGCAGUCAGCAAACACCUCGCACUUGUCAGCCUCUUAGCAGAGCCAGGUGCCUGACUGCCCAUUUAACAGGUUCUGCUGCUGAAAAAUGAGCAUCUACAAAUGACAAUCCAUGCCGUUCCCUGUCUGAUCACCGCAGUUGUUUUUUUUUUAAAAAAUUCCAGUCUAUGAAAAAUACAGUAAUUGCUGGUAGAUGGAGAACUCUGCAGACCUUCAACCUGUCUGAACACCAGCAAAAUGGCAACAUAAGGAAAAAAGUGCACUAGUGAGAGAAUUAGUACCUGAUAAUAGCAUAAAUGAGUGCCAUCCUUCAGUACUGUAAAUCCUUGCUGGAUGUAGUUCUUGAAGAAUUGCCAUCUGAAAGAAACGCAAAACCCAAAUGAUUCUGCUUUUAUCGUUUUAAUAGUGCAGGGGUUUUACAAUGACAGAACCAAUCUCUGUCACACCUGUUCCCUGGGCCAGAGAGAAAUUAAGGAUCACCCUGGGCUGCUGGUUAAAGGUCUCGGGUGAGACACAGUACCAAAUUCCUAUUCAAAAGAAGUAUCAAGCUACAGUGCUAAUUACCACUCUGGUAUGGCUCUUCUGUCUCUCCUUUUUUCAUCUCAUUUUCAAAAUUUUUGGAACUAUACCGUGCAUUUCGGAUGUAGGAUAGCAAAACACUUAGAACAAUUCAUGGAAUGACAAUGAUCGUUUUCUUUUCCCAGUGUUUAGAUAACAGAUGUUCCCCUUCAGACAGUGCAGUGCCUUUGAGAUCUGUCUGUAUGCUCCUAGAGCCAGGACCGUGGUUGUUCCUUUUUGCUACUUGAAGUUUUUCUUCAUUCAAAAUGUGUGUCCACAAUGUGGGAGCAGCCCCUUAGCCUCUCACUCUAAUCAGAAGUCCUGUGGGAUUUUGGUCUGCACUUUAUAUAUGCCAUUUAUUGCUUUGGAUGGUAGUUUAUGAAGCUAUUUAGUAAAAGGGACUUAAUUACUCCUUCUGUUUAACCAUCACUUUUAAUAAGGCUUGGGAUAGUCACUAGUUCCAAAACCUGCCUCAUGUUCUCCAGUAGGAUUUGCCACAAUAACAUCUAAGAAUCAUAAAUAAUGUCCAUAAUAAAUUUGUCUAAGUAUUGUAAAUAAAGUCCCUAUAUGUGUAGACAAUGUGUAGAACAAAUCCUGUCCAAGGUUUUGUAAGCCCAGUGUAACAGAUGAGAGAGCAAGCAGCUGUAGAGGGGAACAGACUGGUACAUAUUCGACUGUCAGGAAUUGCUUAAGCUUUGGUUUACUGUGAAAUUAGAAAGUGCAAAAAAAUGUAUGGAAUAAAAUCCACUGUAUCUUUGACAGUGAUUUAUUCAGUUUUAUAAGCCACUAAUGUCGUGACAUGUAUUUGCAUGUCUUACAUCAGAAAACAAGGUAAAUUUAAUUAGAAAAAAUUACAAAUGGUGUCUGUUUCUCAAAUGUGCCUCUCAUGGAGGGACCCUGUGCCACUCGUGGAGAAGUUGUCAGGGUCUUUUUAGGAGAAAACAAAUACAGUCACAGACAGAGUUUUGUGAUGGCAGUUUUGCAACUGGUUGGGAGGAAGAAGCCUCCGAGUCCCACCUGUGUGGAUGGGCAGGUGUGGAAGAACCCAGAGCAGAGUGCAGAGAAACCCCUGGCACAGCCUUGCUAAUGGCAUGUGAAGUGUCCCCGCUUCUACCUUGUGAUGCUGGAUUUGACCAGAGUUUGGCCUGAGCGAAUGUGAAAAUCCAAGUCAUUCUGAUCCACGGGAGUCUGCUUACCAAGGACCGUGGGGACUUGGGAUUUCUGAGCUUAUGCUGGUGCGUUCACAAGGCGCAGUAGAGCCUCGUGCCCGCCAGAGGGAGCGCGUGGAUUACUUUAGCCCAUCCUUUCCUUUCCCUGCAAGGACAAAUAUUCUGCACGCACGAAGGAAGAAUUCUGCUGUCGUCAGUCCAGCUAAAUACACUGACAACAUGUUGGAUGAGAGCAGCAACGAGAAUGUUAAUGUUGUAGGGGCAGCUCCGCAUCGCAUUAUGGCAUGUUGCAGCCUGAAUCUGGUCUUACAUAGUCAGUGCAUGGGUCCAAAGCCACGCAGAUUGUUUCUAAAUAUAUAAACUGCAAACAGAGAACUCUUAUUAAAAAAAGAAAGAAAGAAAAGAAAAUGCAAACCUUGAAGGGGAUGGAAUUGCCGCAUCCAUCAUCCCUCACCUCCCAGGCACGCUUGACUGAUUGGCACAAGAAGCCAAUGUGUCAAAGCCGCCUUCUGUUGGCAGACGGCCCUGCUGCUGCUGUCCCAAAACAUUUUCCUCAGCAUUUGGCUGGUGUGGUCAUGCAGCAGAAGCAGGUCACUGCAUUGCUGGGUCCUGUUCUGCCAAGUACUGACUGAAGAGCAUGGGAAAGUGCGUGCUGUGCAGCCCAGGCACACACUGCAACUACAACAGGCCCCAAGGCCCAAGCAGGAUCUGAUGGCUGUGCUCCGUGUUACCCCUCCAGCUUGGGGCUGCUGCAGACCUAUGGAACUGCUGGGGGCACUGCACAGCACACAGGUCUGUGGUUGCACAGCAGCAGUGCUUCUCUGAGGUGCCUGCUGGUUUUGCAAAGGUGUCAGUUGUCAUAGCCAUUUGGGACAUGUAGUUUUAGGAUAGGACGCAAAGGAGACGUGUUGAGAAGCACGUCAGCUUUAGCAAGUAUACUGCUGCAGAAGGAAGGUGCUGGACACAGUAGCAGAGUGAUCAGUUCUUUCAGUCUCUAGCACCAGGUCUAUGUUUUGUCUGCAUACCUUUCUUCACCCCUCAAGCUCCAGCGUGGCAUUAUUUACAAUAUAUUGAAGGAGAGCAGGAGGCAGAAUACUGCAUCCUCUUAUUCUGAUCUCUUGUGCUUGGAUGGGUUUUGUAAGCUUGUCAGCAGAGUAGAGAAGAGAUUUGUUCCCUCACAUUAGUAGCUGAAACUUUUCAAAUACAAUAAUAUUUGGAGAAGGAAUGAAAUGCAGUGUUUAUAGGAGUUUUCACUUCACUCAUCUUUUUUUCCUAUCUUUACCUGGUAGUUUUUCAGAUCUGGCCAUUUACUUUUUUAAAGAGAGAGCAGUCAUGAGAAGAUUUCAUCUAUGUGUUGAGUUGGGACAGUGUGUUUCAGUAGUUUGAAAAACAGUCUUAGCUCAACUGGGAAAUGUGUGAGGAAGGAAGCGGCAGGCGAAGCAGCACAAUGCAUGUGGCUGUUCCCUGGAAGGUGACUGACACUCACAGCCCCUGGAAGCUACUGAGAUGUUCAGAACAUCAGCAGGAGGACAAGGAAACAGGCAGGUCUAACCCAUUGUACAUCCUAGAUUGUGAGGGAAAGGAAGAAGGUUCUCAGCGUACUUAAAGGCAAAGCAGACCGUGGGCACAAGCAGUGCUUUUAUCAACAAAAAGGAAAGAAAGUAGUGAGGAGAUGAAAAGAAAGGAAGCAGUGAAGGGCAGCAACCCAAGGGCUCACUUUUAUGCCUUCUCUUUUAGGACUUUUGUAUGGCUGCGUGCCUCUGGAGCCCUGCAAAGAGGGCUCAGACAUGGGGACAGCAGCCAAAGCGCAGCCCUUCCAGCCAGUCCUUCUUUUUGAGGGCCAGAGUUGUGCAUAAGGGUGCAGAAAUUAAUGUGAUGUCCUCAUCACAGAAAUUUAGAACUAAUAUUCCCAAUAAAAGGCUUAGUCCAUGAGAUGGAGAAAUGAAUGCCUUAAAAGUCUUAAUGUUUAAUAGAACAAAUGUUACUAAGCUAUACCUCCUGCAGCUUGUGAAACAGAAUUAGUGAGAUCACUGUCCUAUCCUGCCUUCAACAAGAAACUAAAAAUUAAUUGGAAGUUCUUCAUCUCCAGCUCCUACAGCAUUGUACAUGGUUCUACUGAAAACAAUUAAAAACUUACCAUAAUAUUAAACAAAUAUAUAGUGUAGUUAUGUGAAAUUAUUUCAGUCUAAGCAUCCAUAAGUUGCCUACAAAGAAUUUCAUUUGGUAGCAUUCCUUCCUCUUCAGAGAAUCUCACUUUAAGGCAUUUCUCAUAAAUUUGCUUAUUCUCUUCUACAGUUUGUAAAUUCACUUCAGAACUUGAUCUGAGACUUUUGUGUGCAACCAAUUAGCUUAGUCACAUUAAGAAGGAUACAGUACCAGGACAAUAACAAUUGCAAAGUUUAUUUCAAAUGCUGUUGCAACCACUAUUAAAGACAUUGUGCCUUGGUUUAAAAAAAAAAAAAUUAAAGAACAAAAACAGAAGCAUGCAAUUUGCUUUUAUUCCCUUUUCUGUGUGUAUUUAUGUUUAACUCAGGGGAAGAAUUUUAUAAUAUUCUUAAAGGAAAAAUAGAAAUAAAAAUGGCAUGGAUUCAUGAAAGCAUGGGUUUAUAUGUAGGCAUUCUCUGUAAAUGAACCAACCAUUCUGUACUCUGUGUAGAACAACCUUUUCUGUCUGCUCGUGCACAUUUCAGUUACCUCCAUGCACUCCCACUUGUCUUACCUUUUUUGUAUAUGAACAGAGUGUAUUGUACCAUGUUUUCUGUUUGAACUGUGUGUGUCUGAUGCAUAAAACACGACAUGGAAAAGCAAGGUUUUCCCCACCAUCUGCACUGUCACAAACCAUCCAAGCUUUGUUCUCAUGGUUGUUGCCAUUUCACCAGAAUCUUUCGAUGUUUGUAUAGCCUUAUACAGUAUAUUGCACUUACUGUACCUGUAUAGUAUCUCGUCUGUAUACUGUAUGCACAUAAAUAUGUAUAUUCACUCAUGUAUGUAUGUAUAGUAUGUUUAUAUACCUAUGUAUAUGUAUGUGCGUUUGUUCAUAGUCUUUCACUAGAAAUGUGUGGCUAUUCAUAUACAUCCUGUGUAUGCCAACUAUGGAGAAGUAUGAAUGCCAGCACCCACUUUUGAUAACUUACUUUUAUCCUCAUUUUGUCUUGUUAAACGAUGAAAAUAAAAAUGUCAUGUAUUUUAAAUGAGAUCUUUAAAAGAUUAUUAUUUUUACUAAUUUAAAGUUUCCGGUUCUUCAGUAAGUAGAUAGAUAUAUAUAACAGAACCAAAAUUGCAAAGAUACUUGUAUUUUUCAUGACAGCUUUUUAUGGUUGAAAAAUACUGGAUAACAGUCCACGCUCUGUAGGCUUGAUUCACUGUAUUUUACGCUGGCCAGGUGUCACUCAGUUUGGAAAUGCCCUUACCCAACCGGGCUCUCAUGCAGCAAAUCCCAACUCUGUACACAAAGAGGACUUGCACAUAUAAAUACUGGAUAGAGAAGGGCCUUACUCAGCCUGGAAAGAAAAGUGUCUCCAGUGCAGGUGAAUUCUAGGAGUAGGUUUCAAUAUCACACUUUAUGAAUCAAUUUAAUAGGAACAUUUUGGAAAAGGUUUGUCAGCUAUGGUUUCAAAAUGCCUCUUAUGCUUUGCAGUCUGCAGCAGCAUACAAUGCCAGUCGAUUAGGCAUUUAUUGAAACAGAUAACGAUCGUUUACUGGACCUUUACUCAAUCACCACACAACUGAAUAUAGGCUCAGUUAACUUGCCUUGAGCCAGAAGGGCAUGGGCUUAUCUUGCAUAGCAGAAUGUCCCUGUAAAUCAAGGGGUCAAUUGAUACAUACUUUCCAGUUGCGUGUGUAUUUGUUCUUCACUGAAGUGGAGCUUCAGUGACAAUCAUAUAUGUUUCUGUCUGAGGCCUGAGAGUGAUAAAUUUGCUUCCUUUAACAUUAGUCUUAUCAUCAUAUUAUAUUGUUCAGCCAGACCAGUCUCUGUGCAUAGUACGUUACUGCAGCAGAGUGGCAGCAGCUACUCAGAAAAAAAUUUUAGAAGACAGAUCUUAUGCAGGAAAUAGUAAGGAAUUUGUAGCCUGACAGAGACACUGUUAUGAAGAACCUUCACCCCAAACAGAAUCACGUCACAGAAAAUCCUUUUCAUUUUUUUCUAUUCAGUUACAAGGUUAAAUUCUGACCUCACUCACAUCAAGGGCAAAUUCCCAUUUCACUCAUAAACUACAACUGGAAUGUCCAAGGAAUGCUUUUUCUCAACAAAAAAUAGGAUGGGGAAAGGAUAUAUCCCAUUAAGCGAGCUUUGUGUGCAUGGUCCAGCAGACCAAUCUUAAGCCUUUUCAAGACAAUGGUAAUUAAUGGUCUCUUGGGUUGCGUUGGCCCAUCUCUUUUUUACAAUCUGGAAAAGCACAAUUAGUAUCUGGGCUUCAUAAUAACUAUUGUAUAAUUUACAUCUGAGUCACAACAUGAAGGAGUAAAAAUGAGAAAAGACAAUGGCAAUAUUAUUAUUUAAAAAAUAAUAACAAUAAAUUACGGCUCUUGCUUGAUUUCUGCACCGAACUUUAAAACACAAACCACAGAGAAAUAGCAGGUUUUUGCUGGUUGGCAAUUUGUUCUCUUAUGUUACAGGGGAUAUGUGUGUGCAGUUUAACAUGGAGUAGAAUAUUUGGUGUAUAACCUAUUGUCUUCAGCCAUUCCUUACAAGAUGGGUGUUUAAAAUUCCUGGGGAGACCUGAUCUGGAGCCAAGCUGCUGCCAUCAGCUGGAGCCACUUCUGCCUGAUGGUUCAUGGGUUCACACGAAUGAAGCUGUGGUUCAGCACACUGCUGUUAGAGGUUUAGUCUGUUGCAGUCUUCUCAGUGAAUUAAUGCUAAACCAGUGUUCCGCUGAAUCAGCAAAUGCCAUCCAGUUGGAGAUUGCCUUUUAAACAGAAAAAGCAGAAGUAACAUAUGGCAACCACUGCACCUAGUGAAUCCCACUUUCUAAAAUCUUCAUGUGCCAGUCUAAAUUUCUUGCUUGUAUUUCAGCUCUGUCAGUAAAUCAUGAUUAAAUUAGAUUUAGGUACUAUAUUAUUUAGCAAUUCCUUGUAUAUAUGAGAUUGCAUGAUGUUGCUCUGAGGCUGGAGUAGAUGUAGUAUCGCAUACUGGGAAAGGCUCUCAAAUAUGGAUUCUUUAGAAACUGUCAGUACAGUUUGUAAGUCCAGUAUCUGUCUAUUAACUGCAUUUCAGAUUGGGGUUAGUGCGCUUAGAUCACCGAAUACUAAACAAGAAGAUCUGAAGAGAGCGGCCUUUCAGAGCUGAGGCAUUCUCCCUUAAUACAUUAUUAUUAUUAUUUUUUACUAUAUUUAAAAUGAUUCUUAUGACCAUUUUCUUGAAAAUAGUAGAAAAAUGCAAAGACUUAGUGGCUUUGCUGAAGAGUUGGUGGCGAAGUUCUUCAGCUGUCAUGGCAAUAAAGGUAAUAGUUAAAUCAAAUGCUGGCAUCAGGAGGAAGAGUACUGAAGUUCAUGCAUUUAUUUCUGGCUUGGGUAAAAUGAUGUCCAAUAAAUUGGGGAAACUAAUUGAUUUUGUGUUUUCUCCAUGUCACUUUUUAAAUAUCUUUAGACUUGGCCACAGUGUCCACUUUCUCUUAGUUCUUCAAGUAUUGGUAUUGUUUCCACUCAUUUUCUUUAUUCAUAGUUCAGUUUUUCUGUCCUCCUUGGUCACUAGUGGAUGACAAGAAACAAUGACCUUGAGUUUGUACUCUGCUGCCUUCAGCUCCUUUCUACACAAGAGCUUUUGCAGUCUGCGAGGGUUGGAUCUUGAGGAGAUAAGGAUCUUGCCCACCAGCUGCUCUCCUUGCUCUGUGCCACAUCUUAACUCAAAGGAGGAGGUGCUGUUCAUCUCAGCAUGAAAUUUAAAACCUGACAGUUUUCCAAAACUACCAUGAUUUAGAGCAAGAGUGUUCUGUACUGUGGACAUGCUUGGUCAUAGGCUGGGCCGGCUGCAGUAGUCAUUGAGGUCACUGCUUCAAACCAUCCUUCUAUUUUAAGACUGGUAGAUGUGCAGUUAAGGCACGCAUGUUGGAGUAGCAACUCUCAACAAGAGGAGGAGGUGGGGAGACAGGGUUAGCAACCUGUUAAUGAAGUCUGGGACUUUAAAGUGUUACACUGCAAUGCAGUUAGCACAAGGUCUCUGUAUCACUGAACUCUCACAAAGACUGGAUGUUCUGUCCUUUGUGCCUCCUAUGAUUGACCUAAUACAAUAUUGAAUUUUUCUUUCUAUUUUGCAGUGAACGAGAGGAUGUGUCAUGGUGGGUUGCUUGAGUUCUACAUUUAUUGCUUAGCAAAGGCAUACAUUAAGCUUUGAUUUUUCAUAAGUAAUCUCAAUAGAAAUGCACUUUGUGAUGAUCCACUGCAUAAAUGAGAUGCAUGAGACAACUUUACACAAUGUAUCCAGUAUGAGUUGUUCUACAGCCUCUUACUUUAAGCAUACCAGCAUUUACAGGAUGCGCUACCUAACAGCAAAUCAAGCAGUACAUUUCAGACAGUUGUUUGGCAUAAAAAAAAAAAUAGAUGAGAAGGAUAGAAGGUUACAAAUAUGUUACUAAUGCAAGAUCAGGAACAUCUAUAGUGAGACUGCCAGCAUGAAAACCAACUGCAAUAUGGUGAAUUUAUCCUUUAAGUUUUCUUUAUUGAUAGCCUCAGCAAUAAUCUGAGGGUAGCCAGAAAACUUGAAGCAUAGGAGUGUGUGCAGUGCUGAUUCUGUACAAAGUAGCUGUGGCAUUUAGUAAUUGGAAGCAAUGAAUCAUGAAACAGGAGGUCUGGAGUCAGAGGUGCUGAUGGUUUACUAACUAUUUGCUAAUUUAAUUUUUAGGUAUGUGUUAAUUGUUCAUAACCUUGAAUCUUCGGGAAUUCUUUGAGUUCCAAAGAUUCUUGUUAACUGCUUUUAAGUAGUGGAUUAGUCAGACCACAGAGGGCAAUGUAAUAAGUCUUUUAGCAACUCCUGUAUUUAGAAAAGGUGCCCAGACUUCUCUUACGAUAUUGCACCGUGUAAUUGCAGGAGCUGCAUGAAGUGGUAGAACAGUUUUUACAGGGAGUCUAGUUAUGUUUUGUUUUGUUUUUCUGUAGUGGUAUCAUUUGUAAGAAAACAUGUUCCCAGAAAUUUAGAAAUACAGAAUAAUGGAAAUCAAAACAUUAAACUCAGCAACUCCAAAUGUUAAAAUGGCCUUAAAAUGCAAUGCAUAUGCGGUUUUAGAAGUUGAAAUAGCAGGUGUCAGUGAAAUCCUUUAAAUAUGCGGUGCAAGAUUACAAAUAUUUUGUUAAAACUGUUGUGCAAAUGGAAUUCUUUCCCAAUCCUUAAAAAUAUUAUCACCUGGAUUCUAGCACCAAGAUGCCGAAACUGUGUGAUAACACCUACGUUAUUUCUGCCACAGCAGAAUUGACAGGUUGACUGGCAAGUGUUCAUUUCCAGAUUGGUGCCAGUAACAUUAGAGAUGUUUCUAUAAAAACAGAAAAUUGGCUUUUAGUGGCUUGCAUUGAAUUAGAAAUAUAAAGGGGAAAAUUCUUGAGAAAGCUGAAAACGCACAUCUUCUUCCAUUUCUGGUGUGUUGUGUGUGUCAAUCAGAAAUGUACUGCUAGCAAAGUUUAUAAAAACAUAUGCUUAGUACAGGCCAUUGAUACAUGUUUCUAUGCCUUUUCCAGUUAAUAUUCCUCCCAGUUCAAGGAAAAAAUGGAAGUUUCCUUGUGUGUCCUAAAAAUAGUUUGUGAAGGAAGCGAGAGGGCAGUCUGUGUGGCGCUUAGCGCGGCGUGUGCCUGUGCUUGCAAUGCGGGUACAGGAAUGCACAGGGCUCACUGCGGUGCGGCUGCGGGGCUGGGAGGACACUUCUAGAAAACACCUUGGAUGCUUCCGGAGGCAAAUUUGCAAUUGUGUUCUCAGGUGUCCCUGGGAACGUUACCAUGCACUGACUGCAUGGCGAGUGUCUGCUUUCACAGCUCACCUUGCACACACUAUGUGUUCCUGAACAUGCUGUUACUUUUAAUCACCUCUGUAUUAAUAACCAAUUGUUUUGAAUUUAGCGGUAACGGGGGAGCUGGGUAGCAGUACAGAGCUGUGUGAAUGACUGAGUGGGCUGGGUCAAAUUACACCAUCUUUUAUGUCAAUAUUGUGCCAGAGGAAUGGCGGCAGAUGUAGCCUGUAGCUUUACGCUCACUUCCUGGCUUUUACAGCCGCUGGAAGUAACAACAUUUAAUUGCAGUGCAAUGGUUAUAGCUAACAGUUAGCAACAGAAACCUUGUCAUUUUCCAAAUGCUUUUCAGAAGGCUUUUAAGAACAUUUGGAGGGUUUUUACUGUUUGUUUGAACAAACUGUAGUCAAGUUCUUGGACCCCUGAAGUUGUUGGGCACACUCCUGCUGGCAUUAGAUGGGCAAGGAUCUCGGUGCCCAGAGCCUUUGAAACCUGAUUCCUGCUGAACUCUUACACUGGACAACUCCCCUUUUGUGAAGGUGUGCUAAGAGGAUCUCCACAUCUAGCUAAGACUGUCAGAUAGCACAUCAUGGGCUAACUCUUGCUACUUAGCGUAGCCCACUGCCACCUGCAGCCAUGGCACACAGCUGCCUCCUAGGAGCCAUCCUCCUGAGUGGAAGCACCUUGGAGACACCUCCCGGCCAGCUGGCUGGGACCCAUGUGCAUGAGAGAAGGCACCAUCAAGUGUUUCAGUGGGAAAGAGAGUUUGGAAGUUCCUGUAUGAGCACAGGCAAGAGGGAAGAGGGAGGCAGUACCUUUUGCUCCCCGAGGAUGUAGCAUGCAUGUGUCUGGCAAUUCACAAAGACCUGCUUGUGUGGUGUGCUGGGUCCUGUUGAUGAAAGUCCAGUUCCUGAAGGGCCAGGAAGUCCUGUCUUGCAUUUGAAAUGAUCACCAACAAAAGUGACAUGUAUGCAGUGGCUGCAAGGGGACCAUACAAUGCUGGAUAUGAUUGAGAAAAAACGUUGCCUCUGCAAAGAAAUAAAAGCUCGACAGAAAUCAGAGAAAGGACUCUGCAAACAGGACAGCAUGCCUAUUCUGCCGAGUUGGAAAAAGAAUACUGGGACCAAGAAAUACAGCCCUCCUCCUUAUUCCAAACAACAAACUGUUUUCUGGGACACUGCAAUCUGAGAGGUGUGUGGAGGAUGCUCUCUCCACCGUAUUGCACCAUGCACAGGUAGCCAGCUUUCUUAAUGAGGCAAAGGCUCUAACUAAGACUUAUCUGCAGGUGGUGAACUUCCUAGGAAAAAACACACCCGUACAGUGCUCACCUGUCAAUCGAAAGAGAGUUUUAAGUUUCCAACUGGAUUAAGGCAUAUAUAUUUAUCCAGGAUUUUUUUGGAUCCAGAAGAUAUUAGAAUGUAAAUAUUUUGCCAAUAUAUUGAAAACACCCGAACUAAUAACACUGCUGAAAUAUAUAUAUAUAUUCAAAAAUUUAUGAAGAAUUUUACUAUAUAAUGUUACUGUUAUAUGGUUUUAUUAACUAUUUUGUAUGUGGUAUUCUAAUGUUCCCUCUCGACCCCCCCCACCAUUUUAUUUCUCUUACCUGCCUAGAUUUGGCCUCUGUACAAAAGCAUGUGGUUGUACAUUAUAUUUAACAGGACAAUGUAUGAAACAACUCGGUGCUAGGGCUGUAGACGUUACCUAGAGUUGUACUUUUUAGAAGUCCUUAGCUUUUUUGGAGGGAGGGCUGGACAAGGGAGAGAGUUAUGGUGUGAAACAACAGAACUGCAGGCAACACAAAUGGAAUUGCUCAGUGUGGAUGCCCAAGUUGUGUUUACAACACAAAUUGCUGUGCAUCAGUUUUCUCACAAGGUUAAUCACAUAGAUUGCCCUUGGUUUUAUCCUAAUCGGUUAAUCUCCAGCUGUAACUACUUGCUAACAAGGGAAACUAAAUUUUCUGAAGAAAAGCCUGAAACAGAAAUUCCUCCCCAUGACAUUCAGCCGGCUAGCGGAGACCAUGGUUCACUGUGACUGAGUGAUGUACAGCCCGUGGCAAGGAGCCCGCUCGUUAGCAAGUUACAGCCGUGGCAUUGCAGCCAUGGCUCCUGUCCGCAUUUGUCUUUGGUCCAAGAAAAGAAGGGUGACAAAACCUGUUUACAUGUUUAUUAGAUUUAAAUCUAGCAGCAUGUCCUUUGUCAGAUUACUGUGUGUUACAUAUGGAGGUUGGCAUUCAGCCCCUCUGAUGGCUGGUAGGGAAAUCUCCCUUGAUUUCACGUGGGUUUGAAGCAGAGGCCAUGCAACACGUUCUCCCAGGCCUGCUGUGUCAUCUUCCUGCCUGCCUCUGUAAUUGGCUUACAGUCCUGUACAAUGCUAUACACAUUUUGACAGAAUAUUACGUCAUGACCAAAGAAUUAUGACCUCCUGGUUUUAACGGGAGAAAGAGAUGGUUUAAGCUGAUAAUGAGGGAAAAAUCUA